AAGCGGGAAACCAACCUGAAAACGAGUGUUCCCUAUCAGAGCCGUGGAAGACGACCACGUUGAUAGGACGGGUGUGGAAGCAUGGCAACAUGUGAAGCUUACCGUUACUAAUAGCUCGAUCGACUUCUUCGUUCCCAUU
rnacentral:rRNA from 1 species